AACGAACGCUGGCGGCAGGCUUAACACAUGCAAGUCGAGCGCCCCGCAAGGGGAGCGGCAGACGGGUGAGUAACGCGUGGGAACGUACCUUUUGGUUCGGAACAACUCCGGGAAACUGGAGCUAAUACCGGAUAAGCCCUAACGGGGAAAGAUUUAUCGCCGAAAGAUCGGCCCGCGUCUGAUUAGCUAGUUGGUGAGGUAACGGCUCACCAAGGCGACGAUCAGUAGCUGGUCUGAGAGGAUGAUCAGCCACACUGGGACUGAGACACGGCCCAGACUCCUACGGGAGGCAGCAGUGGGGAAUAUUGAACAAUGGGCGCAAGCCUGAUCCAGCCAUGCCGCGUGAGUGAUGAAGGCCUUAGGGUUGUAAAGCUCUUUUGUCCGGGAAGAUAAUGACUGUACCGGAAGAAUAAGCCCCGGCUAACUUCGUG
rnacentral:rRNA from 1 species